UACGUAGGGUGCAAGCGUUAAUCGGAAUUACUGGGCGUAAAGCGUGCGCAGGCGGUUCGGAAAGACAGAUGUGAAAUCCCAGAGCUUAACUUUGGAACUGCAUUUUUAACUACCGGGCUAGAGUGUGUCAGAGGGAGGUGGAAUUCCGCGUGUAGCAGUGAAAUGCGUAGAUAUGCGGAGGAACACCGAUGGCGAAGGCAGCCUCCUGGGAUAACACUGACGCUCAUGCACGAAAGCGUGGGGAGCAAACAGG
rnacentral:rRNA from 1 species